CGUAGGACGGGGUGUGGGACGGCCCCGCGUGGCGGCACCGCAAAAGGUCUCGGCGCCCCUGGAGCGGCGGGGCCGUCCCGCCCGCCUGCUGCACGCCGGGUCCGUGUGGGGUUGGAGGAGUUGUGAGGCGGGACCGAGUUACGUUCAUCGCAGGCAUGAAUACAGGAACAGGUAAACAGCUGAGCCGUAAAAGUUUCUCUCCAGGCAUGUUUUCAACAAAAUGCCAUCACACACUGUCUGGUGAUACAUGCUGCUACCCAGAUGGAACAAAACGGGUGCUCAGUUCUGUUUGGAUGUGGACAAAGGUGCUGCUGCUCCUCCCUCCAUCGGGAACUUUAGAGAAGUGGUGAACAAGGAGAAAUGGGAGACAGAAGAUGCAGACUUUGAUGU